GCAGCCUCCGCGAACCGCGGCCGCCGCCGCACAGCCCGCUUUCUCUCCGCGCCUCGCUCUGACUCCGGCGCGCUCAGCGCCGGGACCCCUGCCCGAGCUUGGGGGCGCCCUGCUCCUCGCCCCUCGGUCCCGGACCCCCGACCGUGACGCGGCCAGGCUGCGCCCCGCAGUGGAACCGCUCCGUUCGCCGCGGGCUUUGGCGGCCGCCCGCGGCUCAGUCUGGCCGGAGGACCGGCAAGGAAGGAAGGGGAAAGCGGGGACACACACACCGGCCGCGGCGCGCGCGCACUGCACACUCGCAGCCGCGCGCCACCGCCGAGGCGCGUCCGGGGCGAGUUUGGACCCGCGGCUCCGGCCCGGCACCUGCCCGCUCUCCUCGCUGCGCCCCAGCCCGGGCCCCGCCCCGCGGACCCUUCGGCCCCUUGCUUGCACAGCUCUCUCUUCGCCUGGGGGAAGCGACAACGUCCCAAUAACUUGCAGACUGUGGCGCAACUGGUCUCGACACCGGAGGCGCCCGAAUGCUGUCCGGGUGAGGUCUCUCAACGCUCGCACUUUAUCCGCCUCGUGCUAGGGGUCUGCUGGAGGAGGCGCGCGUGGCCAUCGAAGCAGGACCUUCAUUCCGCUGGGGCUCUCGGCUGCGCGCUCCCCGCGGGCACCCACCCGCUCACCACCCGGAUCCCCUGGGGCCGCUCUGACACUUGAGCAUCACUCUGGGUUCAGUUAAGCAGGAGCCCCCUCCCUUUUUUCAGGGGAGUCAGUUGAGUUUGGCUGCAGAGAAAUCUCCCACCACCCCUCCUUGGUAUCAAACAGCGGGCGAACUUGUUAGGCGCCUCUGGGAUCUCUAGAGGGGCUUGCAGUUCGGUGUUCUGGUCAGUUCUGGCGCCGGGGCCGGAUUGAACAGGUGCUGUGUGUUUCCAGUCUAAAUGCAGCAACAGACUUCUGCGUUUCCCCUGCUUCUGUUCCCCCAGCCCCGUCAACGUGACACUUCAACAGCUGGGUUGGGGCGGGGGGAUGGUGGGGGCACCAGAGAGGGAGAAUGCUGGAGUUUGAUUUGCCAUACCGAUGCCAGGAAUCGUCAAAACAGGGAGACAACAAAUGUCUGCUUAUCGCUCAUCUAUGCAGAUAAGCCUGUUGUCAAUUCUUAACCGUCCCCCACCCUAGUCUCUGGUACCCGUCGCGGUUAGAGAGAAACCUGUUCCAGAGAAGUUGUUUGGAUAGACUGAUGAAUUGUUUUUUUUGAUCAACUGAAAUCAGGGCUCUCAGCAAGAAAAUGCUGGUUACUGUGAUGCUUUUUUUUAAAGAUAGUGUCGCAGACCAGAACUACCCCCCCUCCCACUAUUUUUCUAUGACAUUCUCAGCCUGCUGGACACCCUAACUCUAAGGUGGAUGGAUGAUCCUUGAAUGGCGGGCUGGGCCUAAGAAUGUGUUAGUUUUCUGCAAAGAAGAAGCAGUCUCCCCAUUGGUACUGCUGAGCAUGGGUUUGGGGAACCUUUGUUGCCCCUCCUGUGAAAAGCAUCCACUCAGACCUCUGUCUAGGUCUGUGUAAGGCUGAAGUGUUCCGCAGUUGUUGGAGUAGAGAAAAGCCAAAGGGUUUGUUUCAUUACCACUCCAGUGUGAUGAAGUGGGAUAGUGUUCAUGGAAGCUUUUGUCCGAGUGUUUCCAGCGGAAAGGAGGCCCUGGAAAUAAACCUUUCUCAGCCAGGUCUGUGCCAGUGGGAAGUUGAGUAAGCAUCAUGCAUGAUCUCUGGGCUGAGGGAAAUGGUGCGUUCUUUGGGGACUUAUGAAGACUGGUAAGUCUGAGACUGAUGUAAAUGACCUUUUAGUUGAGAAGGGAAACUGUUAAGAAAUAAGUAAUGAAACUGUGUUACAUGUUUGUCCAAAUUAAGAAGACUAGAGGAUUUGAUAAGAAUACCUAUAUUUGCAUCAAUGCCUGCUCUUUGUAAAUGCUUUUCAGAGAACAGUGAAAAGCAUUUAAUUCUGAGCAUUUCUGAGGGAAGCAGGGCAAUGAUUAUUAACCACAUGUUCACAGGAGGAAUGGGAGGCUCACAAAUUCAGUGACAUCUCAGGGUUACAGUGGAUAAUUAGAGUCAGAGCCAGGUUCUCUGAAAUCUCCAUCACCGCUAUCCUCACCCAGUACCAGUUCUGUACUUGUAUAAUGUUUUGACUGUGGCCAGACCUCUGCCUUUAUUGGGGUCUGCACUGUUUCACCAUGAACUACUGUUCACAUUUCGACAGAUGAGGAAACUGAGGCUUAGAUAAGUGAUCCAAGUUUUCUGUGGUAUCAUGUUUCUAAGACCAGAACUCAGAGUUCCUGAUGUCUAGUCCUUCAUUCUGUGGAUUAUGCCUUUAGCACUGAGGGCAUGUCAUGGGCUAGAACAUGUACAAUAUACUAGGGACUGUUAAGCCUGCCUGCUGGUGACCUGGGUAUUGGUUCUGGCACUUUUUUGGCUGUAUAACCUGGAACAGAUCAUACCAUCUCUGAGCCUCAAGUCUCUCACCUGUAAAACAAGAGGUUGGUAUGGAAUUACUUUGCUUUUUCUGGUUUUAGCAGUCUGCGAUGCUUAUCAAUAUAUUUGUGAGCCAAUGUUAUUUCCUUUAGGGGAUAGAAGACUUUUCACCCUGUAUUAACUAAAGGGAUUUAGCAAAUUACCUACCACACCUGUAAUUUACUCCCCUUUUGCCACAUACCAUGUAAUGGAAGGGAAAAAAAGUCCAAGGGCACUUGAGCUUAGCAUCUAGAUUGUUUAGUAUUAUUUUUUGACUUGGAAAUAUUCUGAGGGGCUGAACUACUCUUAAAUGAACGUCAGGAUUAACUUGAAUAUUCCAGAUGAUCAACUCUCAUCUUUAUUUAUUCAUUCUUUAGCUUUGGGGUUUGCAUAUAGAAAGUACUCAAUAAAGAGUUGUUGAAUGAAGGAGGUGAGUGAAAUCACUCAUAAGGAAAACACCUGCCAUAAUACAUAGACUGCAUCUUAUCGUGUAAAUUCCCAGUAUCUGCUGAUCCAUAAGAUAAUUUACCUACAAAAGGUGCCUCCUGAACCUAGCAGGUGCAGGUGCCCAUCAUGGCUCUCCUGAAUACAUCAUAUAAAGAAGAGUUUUUCUUUGUGUAAAUGUAGACUCACAUAGUCUCUGCAAUGCUCUUUUGCUUGCCUCCCAUCCCCACCCUUUGUUGUUAGUAAUGUGUAACUGGCUGAAAGAUACAUUCCUAGAAGUUGACUUGUGCCAUUAUAUGAAAGAGUAAGUCUUAAGAUGGAGAAACCAACCACUCUUUGGGUAAAUUUCAGCAGCUGCUAAUACUGGCUGGUGGUUUCAUAGGGGGAACCUAAUUAACAAAACCAAUCUAGUUUCUGUUCCCUUUAAGAAACCUCUUAACACUCUUCUUCCUAUAUGCCCCAAAGUCAUGUUUUUUAUGUUUAGAGGAAUGAUGAUAAAGAAUUAGAAUGGGUCUUAAAUAUUAUUAACAGAUUCAGCCAUUGGGGACUGAGGUAGAUUUCUUACAAAGAAUUCAUAUGUUAACUAGUUCAGAGACUCACUUUUUAUUGGUAAGAAACCCAGGCUUGAACAGGUUGCAGAACAGGUUAACUGACUCGCUCACAGUCGCACAGGUGUUUAGAAGGAGGACCAUGGCUAAUGCGGAAUUCUUAAGAAGCUUUUAUUCAAGGUUGGCCAGAGUUUCUAUGGUGAAAGUGCAUUUUUGAUUUCUAGAAAUCAUAGACGUUAACAAAGAUUUGUUUGCAAUAAUUAUUAAUGAGUAAUCACAUGUGAGAUGGUAUUUUUAAAAAAUCUUGUUCAGGCAGAUAAUUAAGGAUACAAUGUCUUCUUUCAUCCAUUCACUAUGAUCUCUUGGCUUAUAUGUAUUACUGGACUUAGAAUUAAUACUUUGCUCCAACCAGUACUUGGAGAGAGGGAACUACUUGAAUAGAAAUACAAAUGUAUGGUGGUUUUCCAGGCUUCUCUUCCUGGUUAAUAAAGCCAGAAGCCAAAAGUAGCCUUGUCAUAUACUGGUUAAGUCAUAAACACGUAUACGUUUAAUUUGCAUUUUCAUUUUACUUGUACUUCUGUUAAAAUGGUGAGUCAGAACAUGUAAUAUCCUGGAAAAAUAAAUUUUUCUAUGGCUUGAGCCUUCAUUAGUUACUCUGUAAAACACCAAGCUCUAAAUGUGUUUGUUGCAGAAACAUGUUCCCUUUGUAUCAAGCACAUUAACUGGAGUUGGAAGGAGUCCUUCUAUUUUUUUUUUAGAAGCUGCCCAGUUAGAACUGUACAUUAUGUAGCUCAGCUGUUCACUUGUGGACUUAUCUAUGGCAAUCCUCCUAAAUGCCAGGGAAAUCAGGAAGGGAGGAAACCUAGCCUUUUGUUUUAUUUAGUAUUUUUCUUUUUUAAAAUAAAUGGUAAGCUUAAACUAUUGAUGACUUUUUUAAAAUUUAAUUUUAUUGGACUAUAGAUGAUUUAUAAUGUAUUAAUUUCAGGUAUACAGCAAAGUGAAUCAGUCAUACAUGUGAAUAUAUCCAUUCUUUUUUUCCCAUAUAGGUUAUUACAAAUUAUUGAGUAGAUUUUCCUGUGCUAUUUAGUAGGUUCUCAUUAAUCAAUAUUGAUGACAUUUUUGAAGUACUGUGUAAUCACAAUUGUGUGCCAUUGAUGAAGUAUUUUAUUCAGAUUCCUUUCAGUAUAAACAGGCUUGAUUUUGUGUAUUCCAUUCUCAAUUGUAUCCACUUUUGUCUAACAUCUUCAGAGGCAUAUAAAGGAGAUGACACUGGAAAACACAGGAAUCCUACCCAAAUUAGGUUACCCCUGGAAAGACCUGAAGCAAUAAUUGAGACAUGGUUAUAGGUCUAGUCAACUGGUAGUGCCCUGGUAUUAUCACUCUAAGUUAAAACAAACACGUGUUAGAAAGGACACCUCCAUGUAUUCCUUUGUAGAAAGUCUUCUGCAUUGUUUAUGGGAUGAAUUAACAGUAGGUGUGCAGUAUGUUUUGGGGAGUUGAUUCAGUGGAUGAGCAAAUUCUUGAGACUUGUUUCCUCUAAGAGUUUUAGAAAGUCAGUGGUAAAAUUGGUACGAACUAUACAGCAUUGCCUGUUCAGUAUUGCUCCACUAAAAGUGGGCAUAUGUGUCUUCCAGUUGAGGUUCUUCAGACAAGGGUUUGCAGGCACUAGAGACCUAGAAAGUAUAAUUAUCUGGAAUUGGAACUAAAAUUCUAGGGCUGAAGACACAGAGCUGUUGAAAAUCCAUCCAUUUUGAAAGAUAAAGAUGAUAUUUAGGCCUUGGCCAUCCAGUAAUAUUGAGCAAGAGGUUUGCAGGAAGUUCUAGUGAUAACUAGCUGUAAAAAUGUGUUGCUUUGCUUCAUAGACUGGUGCAAGAAAUGUAGUAGAUGCAACUUGUAGGGUAGUGGAUUUUCAAGAUCUAAAGCAC
rnacentral:lncRNA from 1 species